AGAAACAUUGACAAAUACUUGACUUAAUGCGGGGGGGCUUUUUAGUUAUGAUGUUAUCAAAAUAGCAGCGGUGUGACAUAUUCGAACACUUUGUAAAAGGAGGCGGUUUGUUGGUUGCUAGCUAACAAGCUAGCGAUGUUCUAGCUAUACUGUUCUCUUUCUGCUCGUUAUAAGCUCCAAAAUACCUCAACCACAUGAAAUGUAAAGUCAUUUUCACUAACGUGUGGUUAUUGGAUUUUAAACGAAAACAAUGCUUUAACGUUUUUGUUCCCACAAUCGUCAGCAAAACAAGUACGGGCUGAUCUUGCCUCAGAAGAAAAUACUGAUCAAGACAAAGAGCCUGCAGAAACAUUGUGUGUUUGGCGAUGACUCUGAUGAUGAGACGUCUGUCGGCGAGAGUCUGCAAAAAGAAGCAGCCAAGAAAAAGACGAUGAGGCAGACUCAGCUGGAGAUGACGAAGGCCCUGGAGCAGGACAGCACGGUGUACGACUACGACGCCGUGUACGAUAACAUCCAACAGCAGAGGCUGGACAACAGCAAGAAAGUCCUGUCGGGAGUUGAGAAGCGGCCAAAGUACAUCCACCAGCUCAUGAAGGCAGUGGAGAACCGUAAGAAGGAGCAGGAGCGCAGGGACGAGAGAAAGAUCCAGAAGGAGCGCGAGGCGGAGGGCGAGCAGUUUGCCGACAAGGAGGCGUACGUGACCACGGCCUACAAGCUGAAGCUGCAGGAGCAGAAGGAGGAGGCGGAGCGCGAGAAGAGACAGGCCGCCAUCGAAGCUGCUUUGGACGUGAGGAAACAAAAAGACCUGAGCGGCUUCUACCGCCACCUCCUGAACCAGACUGUAGGCGAGGAGGCCAUCCCCGAUCGCUCGGCCAACAAAAGUCAAAUCCCGAGCGAUAUCAAGGUUGAGGAGGCGUCACAAGCGAGUGGCGAUAACACGCAGAGUCCGGGAAGCGGCGGCGAGGACGCCCGCGAAGAGAAGCACGGAUUUAACAAGCCUUCCAAACGCCAUUACAGACACCGCUCGCCUUCGUCGGGCAGCGACGACGAGAGAGAGAGGGACCGGCGCAAGAAGAGAGAGCGCGAGAAGGACGAGCGACGCGGGCGGAGAAGAGAUGAGGACAGAGAUGGCCGCCGCAGCCACACCAGCAGGCGGGACUCCGAGCGGGAAGAGCGGCGUAAGGAAGGGAGCAGCAGAGACCGAGAGGGGGAAAGGAAGGAGAGGAAGAAUUCAGAGAAAGACGAGAGGAAAGAGAAAGGAGAGAGGAAGACGAAGGAGGAUGAGAAGGAAAGAAAGGAGGGUGAGAAGGAAAGAAAGGAGAAUGAGAAGGAAAUAAAGGAGGGUGAAAAGGAAAGAAAGGAGGAUGAGAAGGAAAGAAAGGAGGAUGAGAAGGAAAGAAAGGAGGGUGAAAAGGAAAUAAAGGAGAAUGAGAAGGAAAUAAAGGAGGAUGAGAAGGAAAGAAAGGAGGAUGAGGAGGAAAGAAAGGAGGGUGAGGAGGAAAGAAAGGAGGAUGCAGACAAGAAGGAAGAGGAGAAGGUGAGCAAGUUUGCCAAACGAUCCAACGAACAAACGCUGAGCUCGGCCAGAGAUCGCUACCUGGCUCGACAGAUGGCUCGCUCCGCCUCCAAGAGUUACAUCGAGUGCGAGGAAGACUGACGGCCUGAAGCACUCGGCCAGGAUUCCAUGGAAGCUGAAGAUUGGAGGUCAUGAGUCGUGGCAUUUGGGACGUCACAUAAAUGGUUUGGAGGUGUGCUGCUCAAGUUUCCAGAGCCUGCUCCAUGAUCGUGAGGUUCUGACCCAGCUGGGAGCAGACUGAGGUUUGAUGAAGACCUGCCAUCUUCUACAUGUUCAUUGAAAUGCUGCAUGUUUAAGAUUGUCCACUGAGGGCUUCAGAGGUGAAGAUGUGACCAAAGUCUUGGCUUCCCUACAGAAAGGAUGGAUGGCUUCAGGAUCAGUCAGGAUGUGGAACUGGUCGGCCUUUUGAUGAGGAAGGAAAUGAUUCAAGCAGCUAUUUUGUGCAUAAAUGUUUUAACUGAAUUAAAGUACCUUUAAUUUA